AGUCGAGCGAAUCUGAGGGAGCUUGCUCCCAAAGAUUAGCGGCGGACGGGUGAGUAACACGUGGGCAACCUGCCUGUAAGACUGGGAUAACUCCGGGAAACCGGGGCUAAUACCGGAUAAUAUCUAUUUAUACAUAUAAUUAGAUUGAAAGAUGGUUCUGCUAUCACUUACAGAUGGGCCCGCGGCGCAUUAGCUAGUUGGUGAGGUAACGGCUCACCAAGGCGACGAUGCGUAGCCGACCUGAGAGGGUGAUCGGCCACACUGGGACUGAGACACGGCCCAGACUCCUACGGGAGGCAGCAGUAGGGAAUCUUCCGCAAUGGACGAAAGUCUGACGGAGCAACGCCGCGUGAGUGAUGAAGGUUUUCGGAUCGUAAAACUCUGUUGUUAGGGAAGAACAAGUAUCGGAGUAACUGCCGGUACCUUGACGGUACCUAACCAGAAAGCCACGGCUAACUACGUGCCAGCAGCCGCGGUAAUACGUAGGUGGCAAGCGUUGUCCGGAAUUAUUGGGCGUAAAGCGCGCGCAGGCGGUUCCUUAAGUCUGAUGUGAAAGCCCACGGCUCAACCGUGGAGGGUCAUUGGAAACUGGGGAACUUGAGUGCAGAAGAGGAAAGUGGAAUUCCAAGUGUAGCGGUGAAAUGCGUAGAGAUUUGGAGGAACACCAGUGGCGAAGGCGACUUUCUGGUCUGUAACUGACGCUGAGGCGCGAAAGCGUGGGGAGCAAACAGGAUUAG
rnacentral:rRNA from 2 species